GUUCCUGUAGCGCGCUGGGCAGCGUGUUGGACUUCUAAUUCAAAAGUCGUGGUUUCGAAACACACCUGGGAUG